CCAGACUCCUACGGGAGGCAGCAGUGGGGAAUAUUGCGCAAUGGGCGAAAGCCUGACGCAGCGACGCCGCGUGAGGGAUGAAGGUCUUCGGAUCGUAAACCUCUGUCAGCAGGGAAGAACGGUCACUGUGCUAAUCAGCAGUGAAUUGACGGUACCUGCAAAGGAAGCACCGGCUAACUCCGUGCCAGCAGCCGCGGUAAUACGGAGGGUGCGAGCGUUAAUCGGAAUUACUGGGCGUAAAGCGCUCGUAGGCGGUAUGUCAAGUCAAGGGUGAAAUCCCCGCGCUCAACGUGGGAACUGCCUUUGAAACUGGCAAACUGGAGUGUGUGAGAGGAUAGUGGAAUUCCAGGUGUAGGAGUGAAAUCCGUAGAUAUCUGGAGGAACAUCAGUGGCGAAGGCGACUAUCUGGCACAUAACUGACGCUGAGGAGCGAAAGCGUGGGUAGCAAACAGGAUUAGAUACCCCAGUA
rnacentral:rRNA from 1 species